rnacentral:rRNA from 1 species
UACAGAGGUCUCAAGCGUUGUUCGGAUUCAUUGGGCGUAAAGGGGUGCGUAGGCGGCGCGGUAAGUCGGGUGUGAAAUCUUGGAGCUUAACUCCGAAACUGCAUUCGAUACUGCCGUGCUUGAGGACUGGAGAGGAGACUGGAAUUUACGGUGUAGCGGUGAAAUGCGUAGAUAUCGUAAGGAAGACCAGUGGCGAAGGCGGGUCUCUGGACAGUUCCUGACGCUGAGGCACGAAGGUCAGGGGAGCAAACGGG